rnacentral:lncRNA from 1 species
AUAUCAAUCAUUCUCUUUUAGCUUCCUCCACAUUCAUUCAUUCUUUCUUUGAUCAUUUUCUAAGCUCUUAAAUCAUCAUCAUGGGUGUCUUCACAUACGAAACCGAGUUCACCUCUGUCAUUGCUCCACCUAGGUUGUUCAAAGCCCUUGUUCUAGAUGCUGACAACCUAGUCCCAAAGAUUGCUCCACAAGCAGUUAAAAGUGCUGAAAUUGUUGAAGGAGAUGGAGGAGUUGGAACCAUCAAGAAGACUAGCUUUGGGGAAGGUUUGUUUACUUUCCACCAAGUUAAUAUGUAUCUUGAAAGCAUUAAUUAGUGUCUUAAUUUCUAUAAAAUUGACAUUAACCAUCCUCAAAUUUGGAAAUUACAGGAAGUGAAUACAGCUAUGUGAAGCACCAGGUUGAUGCGCUUGACAAAGAUAACUUUGUGUACAACUACAGUUUGAUUGAAGGAGAUGCUCUUUCAGACAAAAUUGAGAAAAUCUCUUAUGAGAUUAAGUUGGUGGCAUCUGCAGAUGGCGGUUCCAUCAUAAAGAACACCAGCAACUACCACACCAAGGGUGAUGUUGAGAUCAAGGAAGAGCAUGUUAAGGCUGGCAAAGAAAGGGCCCAUGCUUUGUUCAAGGUUAUUGAGACCUAUCUUGUGGCCAACCCUGAUGCCUACAACUAAAACCAUCAAUGAUAUACAACAUGCAAAGGGAACUAAUCUUGUGCACUCUCAUUUCUCUGUUUGUUAAGCAGUGUGACUUUCAAUUCUUUCUUUUUCUCAUACUACAGCAGUCUUUGAUAGUUUUUCUUUUUCCAAAUUUGGUUUGUGAUGUUUCCCUUUUCCCCUGAACAAAAGUCAUAAAUGUCAGUGUCCUUAUUCCUCUGUUUAUUCAACAGUGUUGGCUUUCAUUUCUGUUUUUCUUUCUACCAAGCCAGAGCAUUCUUUGGUUUGCAUUUGAAGUUCUGAUUAAAGAGUAAUGUCUUUGUAUUUGAUUUGUUC